ACGGGUGAGUAACGCGUAGGAAUCUACCUAGUAGUGGGGGACAACGUCUCGAAAGGGACGCUAAUACCGCAUACGCCCUACGGGGGAAAGGGGGGGAUCUUCGGACCUCUCGCUAUUAGAUGAGCCUGCGUCGGAUUAGCUAGUUGGUGGGGUAAAGGCCUACCAAGGCAACGAUCCGUAGCUGGUCUGAGAGGAUGAUCAGCCACACCGGAACUGAGACACGGUCCGGACUCCUACGGGAGGCAGCAGUGGGGAAUAUUGGACAAUGGGGGCAACCCUGAUCCAGCCAUGCCGCGUGUGUGAAGAAGGCCUUCGGGUUGUAAAGCACUUUAGGGGGGGAGGAAGGUCCCAAAGCGAAUACCUUUGGGAAUUGACGUUACCCCCAGAAUAAGCACCGGCUAACUCCGUGCCAGCAGCCGCGGUAAUACGGAGGGUGCAAGCGUUAAUCGGAAUUACUGGGCGUAAAGCGCGCGUAGGCGGUUAGGUAAGUCGAUUGUGAAAUCCCCGGGCUCAACCUGGGAAUUGCAGUCGAGACUGUCUGACUAGAGUGUAGGAGAGGGUGGUGGAAUUCCCGGUGUAGCGGUGAAAUGCGU
rnacentral:rRNA from 1 species